AUUGAACGCUGGCGGCAGGCCUAACACAUGCAAGUCGAGCGAGCGGCGGACGGGUGAGUAUGUUAGGGGGACUUGCCCGUAGGAGGGGAUAACUUACUGUAAACGUUGGCUAAAACCGCUUAUAUUCGGAGGAACCCAUAUGGGUUUAGCAAGUAGGUGGGGUAAAGGCUCACCUAGGCGACGAUCUCUAGCUGGUCUGAGAGGAUGAUCAGCCACACGGGGACUGAGACACGGCCCAGACUCCUACGGGAGGCAGCAGUGGGGAAUAUUGCACAAUGGGCGCAAGCCUGAUGCAGCCAUGCCGCGUGUAUGAAGAAGGCCUUAGGGUUGUAAAGUACUUUCAGCGGGGAGGCGUUACCCGCAGAAGAAGCACCGGCUAACUCCGUGCCAGCAGCCGCGGUAAUUC
rnacentral:rRNA from 1 species